UACGUAGGGUGCGAGCGUUAAUCGGAAUUACUGGGCGUAAAGCGUGCGCAGGCGGUUCGUUGUGUCGGCGGUGAAAGCCCCGGGCUUAACCUGGGAAUGGCCGUUGAAACUGGCGAACUGGAGUGUGGCAGAGGGGGGUGGAAUUCCGCGUGGUAGCAGGUGAAAUGCGUAGAGAAUGCGGAGGAACACCGAUGGCGAAGGCAGCCCCCUGGGCUGAA
rnacentral:rRNA from 1 species